GACGAACGCUGGCGGCGUGCUUAACACAUGCAAGUCGAACGGAAAGGCCCUGCUUUUGUGGGGUGCUCGAGUGGCGAACGGGUGAGUAACACGUGAGUAACCUGCCCUUGACUUUGGGAUAACUUCAGGAAACUGGGGCUAAUACCGGAUAGGAGCUCCUGCUGCAUGGUGGGGGUUGGAAAGUUUCGGCGGUUGGGGAUGGACUCGCGGCUUAUCAGCUUGUUGGUGGGGUAGUGGCUUACCAAGGCUUUGACGGGUAGCCGGCCUGAGAGGGUGACCGGCCAAAUUGGGACUGAGAUACGGCCCAGACUCCUACGGGAGGCAGAAGUGGGGAAUAUUGCACAAUGGGCGGAAGCCUGAUGCAGAAACGCCGCGUGCGGGAUGACGGCCUUCGGGUUGUAAACCGCUUUCGCCUGUGACGAAGCGUGAGUGACGGUAAUGGGUAAAGAAGCACCGGCUAACUACGU
rnacentral:rRNA from 1 species